GACAGAGGGUGCAAACGUUGUUCGGAUUUACUGGGCGUAAAGCGCGUGUAGGCGGCUUUGCAAGUCGGAUGUGAAAGCCCACGGCUCAACCGUGGAAGUGCAUCCAAAACUGCAUGGCUGGAGUCUCGGAGAGGAAGGUGGAAUGCUUGGUGUAGAGGUGAAAUUCGUAGAUAUCAAGCAGAACACCUGCGGCGAAGGCGGCCUUCUGGACGAUGACUGACGCUGAGACGCGAAAGCGUGGGGAGCAAACAGG
rnacentral:rRNA from 1 species